rnacentral:rRNA from 1 species
GUGGGGAAUAUUGGGCAAUGGGCGCAAGCCUGACCCAGCAACGCCGCGUGAAGGAAGAAGGCUUUCGGGUUGUAAACUUCUUUUACCAGGGACGAAACAAAUGACGGUACCUGGUGAAUAAGCCACGGCUAACUACGUGCCAGCAGCCGCGGUAAUACGUAGGUGGCGAGCGUUAUCCGGAUUUAUUGGGUGUAAAGGGCGUGUAGGCGGGACAGCAAGUCAGAUGUGAAAACCAGAGGCUCAACCUCUGGCCUGCAUUUGAAACUGUUGGUCUUGAGUGUCGGUGAGGUAAUCGGAAUUCCGUGUGUAGCGGUGAAAUGCGUAGAUAUACGGAGGAACACCAGUGGCGAAGGCGGAUUACUGGACGAUAACUGACGCUGAGGCGCGAAAGCGUGGGGAGCAAACAGGAUUAGAAACCCCGGUAGUCC